GACAGAGGGUGCAAACGUUGUUCGGAAUUACUGGGCGUAAAGGGCUCGUAGGCGGCCAACUAAGUCAGACGUGAAAUCCCUCGGCUUAACCGGGGAACUGCGUCUGAUACUGGAUGGCUUGAGGUUGGGAGAGGGAUGCGGAAUUCCAGGUGUAGCGGUGAAAUGCGUAGAUAUCGGAAGGAACACCAGUGGCGAAAGCGGCUUCCUGGUCCAGCACCGACGUUCAGGCACGAAAGCGUGGGGAGCAAACAGG
rnacentral:rRNA from 1 species